rnacentral:misc_RNA from 1 species
UGGCAAGAGCUGCACCAGCAGUUGGACCAUAGCCUGAAACUACGUUCAAAACACCUGGAGGAAGACCAGCCUCAUGGAAAAGCUUUGCCGCAUAAAGAGCAGUCAGAGGAGUCUGUUCAGCUGUCUUGAGUACAAUAGUAUUACCACAGGCUAAUGCAGGACCAACUUUCCAAGCAAACAUGAUAAGAGGAAAGUUCCAUGGAAUUAUCUGCCCUGCUACUCCAAUCGGUUCGUGCAAUACUUGAACAUGGUGAUUACUGUCUCCUGGAACUGUUAGCCCAUGGAUCUUAUCUGCCCAACCAGCAUAGUAGUGAAACAGGCGAGACAGCAUUGGUAACUCAGAUUUAGCAGACUGUUCAUAAGGCUUCCCAUUAUUCCAUGUCUCUAAAGCUGCUAGUUCAUCAUUGUGCUUCUCAACCAAAUCAGCAAAACGCAAGAGAAUCCGCGAUCUUUCGUAAGGGGUCAUCUUUGGCCAUGGUCCCUCAUCAAAUGCUUUGCGAGCAGCAGCUACCGCCCUAUUUAUAUCUUCAGCAUCACCUUCAGCUACAUGGGCAAUCACUUCUUCUGUGCGGGGAUCAUAUGCCGGAAAUGUUCUCCCAGAUGCUGCAUCAACAAAUUGCCCAUUGAUUAGAUGUUGGGUGUAGACUGCUUGAACAGGUGGGGUGAUCGGUUUCUCAACUGCUGCGGCAGUGCUAAAUCUGUAGAUGCUUCUUCCCCUGCUACGAUUUCUUCCUAGAGAGAGAAGCAAAGAAGCAGCACCAGAAGAAGAGGAGAGCGAACGGGCUAUCAAGGAAGAUGUCCUGCGAGCUGCCAUGGCCUGUGUCCAAGAAGGUCUGUGAUGCAGGCGAAAGAAACAGAA